AAGUUUUCUCUUCCCUGCCACCAUGUAAGAUGAGCCUUGCUCCUCCUUGCUCUUUUGCCCUGAUCAUGAGGAUUCUGCAGCCAUGCGGAACUGUGAGCCCAUUCAACCUCUUUCCUUUGUAAUUACUCAGUCUCGGGUGUGUCUUUAUUAGCAGUGUGAGAAUGAAUGAAUACAGCUGGGAUGAAGGUUCCACCCACAGCUGGGGCACGGACUGCAUAGCUGGGACCAUGUGGGGAGAAAGACACCCUGGAAAGGCUGGCGUGGGCACAGGCUGCCCAAGGAGGGACACUGCCUGCAGAGCCAUGGCAUGAAGCAAGCCUCCCGGGCCCUAUGUGCCCUGCUCUGGGGACACCAGGGGAGGGGAACAACCUGCAAUUCAUGAAAUUUACAUGAAUUUAUGAAGGGGAGAAAAACCCUGAAGUCACUGAGCUUACUUUGAAUUGCGAAGAUUACGUUUUCCACUGCCUGCUGGAGUACAGGCCUGAGGCUUCUAAAGACUUAACUAAAUAGAAGAUGGCCAUUAAUGUCCUUCCUGAUGUUUUUAUACAAUAUCCUUUACUUUUCAAGGACAGAAAAGGCUUGAACUUUGGAUCAUGUAGUAACCAAAGAUGGAGUCUCGCUCUGUCGCCCAGGACGGAGUGCAAUGGUGCAAUCUCAGCUCACUGCAAGCUUCGCCUCCCAGGUUCACGCCAUUCUCCUGCCUCAGCCUCCUGAGUAGCUGGGACUACAGGCGCCUGCCACCAUGCUCGGCUAAUUUUUUGUAUUUUUAGUAGAGAUGGGGUUUCACCAUAUUGGACAGGCUGGUCUCGAUCUCCUGACCUUGUGAUCUGCCUGCCUCGGCCUCCCAAAGUGCUGGGAUUACAGGUGUGAGCCACUGUGCCCAGCCCCCUUACAUCUUUUCUAAAGUUGUUGGUCUGCAAACUACUGGAACUGGUGGCCAAUGGUUCAGCUAGCACAUUAAAUCUAAAUCUUGCAUUAGGGAACUCAUAUCAAUAAAUUUGACUUGCUCCAACAUUAUGUUCACCCUCCUGGGUCUAGCAUCAUUGCAAUUUAUUUCUAAAUCUCCC
rnacentral:lncRNA from 10 species